rnacentral:misc_RNA from 1 species
GAACGCACAUUGCGCCCGCCAGUAUUCUGGCGGGCAUGCCUGUUCGAGCGUCAUUUCAACCCUCAAGCCCCCGGGCUUGGUGUUGGGGAUCGGCGUGCCCUCGCGGCGCGCCGUCCCCUAAAUCUAGUGGCGGUCUCGCUGUAGCUUCCUCUGCGUAGUAGCAACACUCGCACUGGAUCGCAGCGCGGCCACGCCGUUAAACCCCCCACUUCUGAAAGUUUGACCUCGGAUCAGGUAGGAAUACCCGCUGAACUUAAG